rnacentral:sRNA from 1 species
AAGCAAGAAAGGCCGGCAAUGCAACAGC